ensembl:snoRNA small nucleolar RNA, C/D box 66
GAGCAUUUAUGACCUCCAUUUUGUGCCACAUGUCUGGGCCACUGAUUCACGCUGAUGGGAUUGGGGAGCUUCGGUC